rnacentral:lncRNA from 1 species
GGAGGAUCACUUAAAAAAUGGAAUCAUGAUAAGGGAUGCUCCAGGCAUGUGCAAAUAGAGAUGAGUAAAGAGACUGAGAGGUGUUACCAGAACUUUUGAAGCUGUUUCUGAUGUGUCUUAGAAGUGUAUGACAGAAGAGAGGGAGUGGUGAUGAUGGUGAGAGAUUACAAAGAAUUUAUUUUCCACCACUGGCAAAUCACUGUAAAUAUCUCAAGGAUUCUUUGUGGGAUUUUUCAUUUGGUUUUGGAAGGGAUAGUGUUUAUUUCUAAGAUAGGAGUGUCAUAAUUCAGGCUGGCUUGGAAUUUGCUAUGUAGCUCAGGUUGGCCUUAAAGUCACAAUCCCUUUCUCCCAGACUCCUUCGCCUGGUAUCACUGGCAUGGGUUGCAGGCCAAGCUUGUGGCUUGGUUUUAAACAUUUAUGUUUUAUGUUUUAGAUCAGUGGCAGUUCAAGCUGGCGGAUCUUGGUAGCCCUGCUCUUCAUUUAACUGGCAGUGGAGAAAAGCACAGCAAACAUGGAAGACAGGGAAGGCAGCAGAGCAAUGGUGCAGGUCGGUUGGUCUGAAGAAAAGUGAAAACAGCAUGUGCUACAGCCUUCCCUGCCUUAUGCACAGGAACACCAUGAACCUGCUGUAUGCUGUUCUGCAGACAUAGUGUUGCCCAAGGCAGACAUGGUAUCUGCCUUCAUGGGACUUACAGUUGGAAGGAAGGACUGAUACCAUUUGUGACCAGCACUGAAAAUGUUUGUUCAAGAGUUUUCUCAUAGAGGAAGCUGCCAUUGUGUGAAGAUGGAUAUGCCCUUUUCUUCCCUGUUCUCCCUGAAGAUGAAUUCUCCAUCUCAAUUGCUUCCUCAUCGCAUGGGCACUUAUCUUUGCCUUUUGUGCACUGGAGGAGAACAUGCUUCUCCAUCUCUUUGUCUCUCAGAAAUAUGAUCCGCGUGUCAUUUCCUCUGUCAUGUAGCUGCUCUUUACCAUGUCAGCCGCUCUGACACCUGUUUCCAGUAGCAAGCUAGUGACAAGUACUAUGAGGAAGAAGGUCCCCCCCAAAGCAGCAAUCAACCUGAAGGAAAGUAAUGCUCUGUUUUUACACUUGAAAAGACAAAGCAGGAGAGCACAUUCUCAUUUUUCUCUACCCUCUUGCCCUCUCUCUUUCUUUUAAGACACUUUCCCCGAAAAAGACAAAUUUUAGCCAAGUUUUUCAACCAAGAAAAUUCUGUAAACUUUAUUCCAAACCAGAGGUAACAGUGCAAAAUGUUUUAAUAACUAACUUUAGAUUCUUUCCUAACAUAGAGACAAUUCUUCUGUAUCUAGACACUUUAGUGCUCUUCCAUAAUUAUACACACAGUCUAUGACUUGUCAGUGGAUACUUCUUUUAACUUAGGAACAGAAAGAUGCAGUCACAUUAGGGGGAAGGACCAAUGAGAGGAUCAUUACGCUUUACAUACUAUUACUGCUUAUCAGCUUAAGCAUUGACUUUCAACUCAUCAUUGUAGUUUGCUACUACUCACCCAGCUCAACUCUAAUUCUUUUAUAAGCGCUCUUUGUUCUAUGACACCAAUUUUUCCUUAGAAUUCUCCAAACCUUCUAAACUAUUUUCCUUCCAUGCUUUCAAACUUGCCCAUCUUUCUUUGGCUGUUCUUGUAAACUUAAACAAACAACCCCCCCCCCAAAACUGUUAGUGCUCAAUUGGAUGCCUUCUUUGUCUAAAGGAUAUUGUCAACUCCAGUCUGUAAACUAGUUUAGGUGUCCUCUAUUAUCUCAUAUGCAUUUUAAAAUUGCUCUUUGUAUUCUAUUAUUAGUUAAUUCAACAAUUGCAUGUUUUUACACAAUCAAUGCCAUCUCUGUAUAACCAUUCAUGGAUAUGCCUGUCACCCCAAAAACCUGGGAGUUUAUUGCAUUAAAAAGUUGGUAAAAACCACUAAAUUAGCCAACA